CCAGUACUCGAUGAUUUUUUUCAUUUUGGAAGGAAAAAAAGAGCUUACACGAACUAAAUUAGAAUUUAUUAGUAUUAUUUUGUAAAUUGAUAUGAUUGUGGUCUGAUCUCAAGUCAUCACGGCGUCAAUGCAUUAACAAGUCAAGUCACCACGCGUGGUGACUUUAUGUAUUCAAGUCAUGACUUGUUCCAAGUCUAAAUUUUAUAAUCAAACGAUAAGAAAUUAGAGACAGCCGUAUGUCCUUUGAGACCACCACCGAAACUGCAUCGUAUAGUCCUUAUUCAGCCCUAUCUACUCUUCUCCUUAUGAAUUGGAAAUGACUUUCUAGCAGCCUCGGACUUCAGCCGAAGUCCGAUGAUGAUAAUGUGCGCAUUUACACAGAAGUUUGAGAACCAGAGUUGCAGAGGCAUUUACACAGAAGUUCGAGAACCAGAGUUGCAGAUCUUGCUUCCUGAUGAUUACAUAUACAGAAUAAUGAGCCCUUGUCUACCAGCGCGCUGUGGAAAGAAAGGAACAAUCGUAUCUACUCGAACAGAUACAUGGAUGCUUUGAGUCUUCUGAAAAUGGUUUAUGUUGGCAUUAGCCUGAAAUUAACUUCAAAUUCUAAGUCAGGAGACCCCGUCUUAUUUCCUUAUUACAGCGUUCUUGGGACAUACCUGUUUUGUUUCUAUCCCUCUGUACCGCUCUAGCUAGUUCCUUUGUUGUGUAAGUAGGAGGGUAUGCCCUCCUCUCUAUUGCAUCUCUUAAAACAAAACUUGCUUACCCAAAAAUAUAAUGAACUUGAAAAAAUAAAUUUUAAUUUUAUAUACAAAAUUACAUUCAA